UACGUAGGGUGCGAGCGUUGUCCGGAAUUAUUGGGCGUAAAGAGCUCGUAGGCGGUGUGUCACGUCGGCCGUGAAAACCUGGGGCUUAACUCUGGGCGUGCGGUCGAUACGGGCAUCACUAGAGUUCGGCAGGGGAGACUGGAAUUCCUGGUGUAGCGGUGAAAUGCGCAGAUAUCAGGAGGAACACCGGUGGCGAAGGCGGGUCUCUGGGCCGAUAUUGACGCUGAGGAGCGAAAGCGUGGGGAGCAAACGGG
rnacentral:rRNA from 1 species